rnacentral:rRNA from 1 species
UACGAAGGGGGCUAGCGUUGUUCGGAAUUACUGGGCGUAAAGCGCACGUAGGCGGAUAUUUAAGUCGGGGGUGAAAUCCCGGGGCUCGACCCCGGAACUGCCUUCGAUACUGGGUAUCUUGAGUUCGGAAGAGGUGAGUGGAAUUGCGAGUGUAGAGGUGAAAUUCGUAGAUAUUCGCAGGAACACCAGUGGCGAAGGCGGCUCACUGGUCCGAUACUGACGCUGAGGUGCGAAAGCGUGGGGAGCAAACAGG